AGAGUUUGAUCAUGGCUCAGAGCGAACGCUGGCGGCAUGCCUAACACAUGCAAGUCGCACGGCCCUUUCGGGGGCAGUGGCGGACGGGUGAGUAACGCGUAGGGAUCUAUCCUGGGGUGGGGGACAACCGUUGGAAACGACGGCUAAUACCGCAUGAGGCCUGAGGGCCAAAGCUCGCGAGAGCGCCUAAGGCGGAGCCUGCGUACGAUUAGCUAGUUGGUGGGGUAAUGGCCUACCAAGGCGACGAUCGUUAGCUGGUCUGAGAGGAUGAUCAGCCACACUGGGACUGAGACACGGCCCAGACUCCUACGGGAGGCAGCAGUGGGGAAUAUUGGACAAUGGGCGCAAGCCUGAUCCAGCAAUGCCGCGUGGGUGAAGAAGGUCUUCGGAUUGUAAAGCCCUUUCGGCGGGGACGAUGAUGACGGUACCCGCAGAAGAAGCCCCGGCUAACUUCGUGCCAGCAGCCGCGGUAAUACGAAGGGGGCGAGCGUUGCUCGGAAUGACUGGGCGUAAAGGGCGCGUAGGCGGAUGGGACAGUCAGAUGUGAAAUUCCCGGGCUCAACCUGGGGGCGGCAUUUGAGACGUUUUGUCUAGAGUGAGGAAGAGGGUCGUGGAAUUCCCAGUGUAGAGGUGAAAUUCGUAGAUAUUGGGAAGAACACCGGUGGCGUAGGCGGCGACCUGGUCCUUGACUGACGCUGAGGCGCGAAAGCGUGGGGAGCAAACAGGAUUAGAUACCCUCGUAGUCC
rnacentral:rRNA from 1 species